AUUGAACGCUGGCGGCGGGCCUAACACAUGCAAGUCGAACGGUAACAGGAAGAAGCUUGCUUCUUUGCUGACGAGUGGCGGACGGGUGAGUAAUGUCUGGGAAACUGCCUGAUGGAGGGGGAUAACUACUGGAAACGGUAGCUAAUACCGCAUAACGUCGCAAGACCAAAGAGGGGGACCUUCGGGCCUCUUGCCAUCGGAUGUGCCCAGAUGGGAUUAGCUAGUAGGUGGGGUAACGGCUCACCUAGGCGACGAUCCCCAGCUGGUCUGAGAGGAUGACCAGCCACACUGGAACUGAGACACGGUCCAGACUCCUACGGGAGGCAGCAGUGGGGAAUAUUGCACAAUGGGCGCAAGCCUGAUGCAGCCAUGCCGCGUGUAUGAAGAAGGCCUUCGGGUUGUAAAGUACUUUCAGCGGGGAGGAAGGGAGUAAAGUUAAUACCUUUACUCAUUGACGUUACCCGCAGAAGAAGCACCGGCUAACUCCGUG
rnacentral:rRNA from 1 species